GAAAAGAACCCCGGGAGGGGAGUGAAAUAGAACCUGAAACCCUGCACUUACAAGCUGUGGAAGCACAUUUCUUGUGUGACCGCGUACUUUUUGUAGAACGGGCCAACGAGUUACGUUAAGUAGCAAGGUUAAGCACUUAAGGUGCGGAGCCGUAGCGAAAGCGAGUUUUAACUGAGCGUUCAGUUACUUGACGUAGACCCGAAACCGGGCGACCUACCCAUGAGCAGGAUGAAGCGAAAGUAAAAUUUCGUGGAGGUCCGAACCCACGAGCGUUGAAAAGCUCGGGGAUGACUUGUGGGUAGCGGUGAAAUUCCAAUCGAGCCCGGAGAUAGCUGGUUCUCCCCGAAAUAGCUUUAGGGCUAGCCUCAAGGUGAGAGAUACGGAGGUAGAGCACUGAAUGUCCUAGGGGGUAUUGCACCUACCGAAGACUAUCAAACUCCGAAUGCCGUCAUCUUAUACUUGGGAGUCAGACUGUGGGUGAUAAGAUUCAUAGUCGAAAGGGCAACAGCCCAGAUCGUCAGCUAAGGUCCCUAAAUGUAAGUUAAG
rnacentral:rRNA from 1 species